UACGUAGGGUGCAAGCGUUGUCCGGAAUCAUUGGGCGUAAAAGCGCGCGUAGGUGGUCAUGUAAGUCCGCUGUGAAAGUCAAAGGCUCAACCUUUGAAAGCCGGUGGAUACUGCAUGACUAGAGUACGGAAGAGGCGAGUGGAAUUCCUGGUGUAGCGGUGGAAUGCGCAGAUAUCAGGAGGAACACCAAUAGCGAAGGCAGCUCGCUGGGACGUUACUGACACUGGAGGCGCGAAAGCGUGGGGAGCGAACAGG
rnacentral:rRNA from 1 species